CGCGCGCCCACGCCCCAGGUGCCCGGGCGCGCAUCACCGAGGGGCGCAGUGCCCAGGCCAGGGGGCCAGGGCGGCGCGGGUGCAGGAGAAGCCCAUUUAGAUUCAGAGGGAAGCCGGCCCUGGGAGACGGCCGCGAGGAACAAAGGCGCCCCAGAGCUGCCCACUUAGCAUGCCAGAGCCGCGCUGCUCCGCUCCCAGGCCGGGGACGCGGCCCGGUGCGGAGCGGAGGGCGCCGGGCCCCGGGAUCUCCUAAGGCCACGGGCACCUCCAAGGCCACCGCCGCACACCGCUUCGGAGUGCACGGUGCACACGCCCAGGCACAGCAGCCGGGCCCCAGAGAUUGCGAACGCCUUGGCUUUGAGUAAGGCGCCCAGCUCUACCAUCCUUCUUACCGUGAUGACUCCCCGUGGUUAUUACCUGAGGGCGUUGCAAGAGCCUUAUUUACACUGCCAAGUUGAGAAUUUAAAAAGAUUUUUUUUUUUUAAAUAGGUUUAUCUGCGUGUCCUGGUGAAGUUAGGAUGCAGAGAACUUGGAGCGGUUGUUUUCUACCAGACACGAGGAUCCCUGUGAGAGGAAGACAGCUAAACCACCAAGGCCCAGCCAACUGGUGGGGUCCUGAAAUGAAUGUCCCUUGAAAGCAGCACGUCUUUGCACUCUGCCAAUGAAGAAAUUGUUUACGUGAAAUGAGAUUGAGUUUAAAAGAAGGCAGGAAGAAAGAAGAAAACGCUAAGACUACAGUUCUAUGAGUGUGCAUACUGAAAACCUUUGGAUGGUCCUUCUAAUAAGAUCAAGAAAGUUCAGCAUCGAGACUUGCAGCAUGUCGUGGAGGCAGCAUUGGGACACAUCUGAGAAAUGCUUCAACGUCAAGUCCAGAGGAUGAACGCGUGAAGAAAAACAUGGUCAUCGACUCUUAGUUGUAAGUGAUUCAGGAGACUCUGACUAUGAUCCAAUUUUAGGAAAAGCUUAACUAAUAUAUGUGUGAGGGUUAUAUGAUAAAAAUCUACAACUAAAUAAAUCAAAAAGAGCUCUUUCAAUAACAUGAAAUUAAAAUUUUAAGUAUUAACAAA